GAGGCAGGCACAUAGCAAUUGGCCUCUGCGGGAGCGGAGUCGAUUUCGAGGGGGGGCUCCAGACAUGUUGGGAGCCGCAGAGGUGCGGAGCCAACUGGAGAGGGGCCGGGAGAGACCAACUGUACCCUCCAUCCUUUGUGGGACCAGGAACUGGGGGAAGAGGAGUGAGUCCAUACAGAAUCCCAGGAACCAGACUUCAUAGACCAGACUCAAAGGUGCAGAUCUAACUCUGUUGUCCAGUGUUACCAGCCUUUAAAUGAUUGAAAGGCCAAUCAGACCAUCCCAUGCUAGCCUCAAGCACAAUCAGUCAGGUGCCAGGUACACAUGUGGUGCACAUAAUAAUACUCCCUGUGAGCAGAGAGCAAUGGCAGAGUGAAUAAGGAAUACAGCUUCACACAGGCUGCUGUGAAGGGACACUGCUGUUCUCAGAGAUGGCUCAGGACUCUGAAGACCUUGUCUCUGACUAUCAAUUUUGGCUGCAGAAGCUUUCUGUAUGGGAACAGGCCUCCUCCAAAGAAACCCAGCAGGAUACCUGUCUCUACCUGUCCCGGUUCCAGGAGUUCCUGAGGCGGAUGUAUGAAAUCUUGAAGGAGAUGGAUUCUGAUGCAAUUCUGGAAAGGUUCCCCACAAUUGGUCAACUGUUGGCAAAAACUUGCUGGAAUCCUCUCAUCUUAGCAUAUGAUGAAAGCCAAAAAAUUCUAAUAUGGUGCUUAUGUUGUCUGAUGAACAAAGUACCACGGAUCCCUGGAGAGUCAGAACUUAACUCAUGGAUCCGGGGUUUGUUAUCUUAUGUCCUUUCUGCAUUCAGAUUCGACAUGAAAGAAGUCGGUCUUUUUACCAAAAGUCUUGGAUUUGAACCUGUUGAUUACUAUCCUAGUUUACUUAAAAAUAUGGUUUUGUCAUUAGUGUCUGAGCUCAGAGAGAGUCAUCUUAAUGGAUUGAACACUCAAAGUCGGAUGGCUCCCGAGCACAUGAUGUCCCUGUCACAAGUGUGUGUCCCUCUUGUUACUCUGCCUGAUUUUGAACCCCUGGUAGAGGCUCUACUCACCUACCAUGGACAUGAACCUCAGGAAGUCCUCUCGCCUGAGUUCUUCGAAGCUGCAAAUGAGGCCUUCUUGUCGAAAAAAAUUGUUCUUUCCACGUCCUCUGUGGUCAGCCUCUGGUUUCGGCAUUUCCCCAGUCUCGAAAAAGCAACACUACAUCUUUUUGAAAAGCUGUUCUCCAGCAAGAGAAAUUGCCUGAGAGGGAUGGAGCGCUGUAUAAAAGAGUCAUUACUGCCUCAAGCAGCCUGCCACCCUGCCAUCUUCAGAAUUGUUGAUGAAAUGUUCAGGUUUGUGCUGCUGGAGACUGACGGAGCCCCAGAAGUUCUAGCUGCUCUGCAGGUAUUCACAUUGUGCUUGGCAGAAGCUCUGGAAAAAGAAAACAAGCAGCUGAAGUUUGCCCUCAAGACCUACUUUCCUUACGGUGCUCCAUCUCUUACUGCAGCGCUGUCCCAGCACCCUGAAGCUAUCCCACAGGGACAUCGGCUCCAGCCUCUGCUGCACAUUUCCCAACUCCUCAGAGAAGCAAUUGAAGACAGUACUCAUGGGUCCCAGCGAGGUCCCUUUGAGAGCUGGUUUUUGUUUGUUCACUUUGGAGGAUGGGUUGAUCUGGCCAUGGAACAGUUGCUGAAGAAGGAAGCUGAGCCCCCGGCAGGCCUGCUGUGGCUCGUAGUCUUCUAUUACAGUCCACAGGAUGGGAGUCAGCAGAGAGAACGGAGCAUGGUGGAGCUGAAGGAAUUGCUCAACCGUCUCCUGAUGCUGCUCGGAAGUGGCCCCCUCUCAGCUGUCGAUCUCCAGGAAGCAGCUGAGAGUCCCAGUCCACCGAUCUGUGCACAGCUCGUCAGAUGCCUUCUUCUCAGCCUUUUGCUAUGGACCCCGGAAGGCCAUGCCAGUGCCCGGGAAGCCAUCACCUGUAUGGUGCACACGGAUGCUGCAGCCCAUGAGAUUGUCGGCUUUCUUGACCAGACCUUGUUCAGAUCCGAUCAUCUUUGUGAUGAAGCCUCAAGAAAACUGGCCAGAGAGCUCCUUCAGGAGCUGCAAGCUCAGGUCUAGCAGGCAGCACAGAGUGUGUGGACUUUGCAUGGACAUCUGUCUGGUGAAGCUCCGACCCUGGAGGCCCUGUCUGACUUGAGCACACCUGUGCCUAUGCAUGCUGUGCAGCCUGGCCAACGGGGUCCAUGAGAGUUAUGAAGGGAAAGGUCCAUACCACCCGGAGCGUUCCAGUCUUACAUGAUGAGAGCCAUCCCUGCCUGGUUUACUGACUCCUUUAUCCCCCCAUGCUGAUAAAGGUGCCAGUGAAUGGUGGAGGGAUGCUCAGCAGCAGGAAAGAGUCGCUGAGGUACUUUCCAUUCUGAAUGGGAAGAACAGCGUACACACUGCCGUUCUUUCUCCCUGUGUGUUCACACGUUUGUAUCCUGCAGCGGUCAGGAAGAGAAGGGAUUGUGUGCACUCUGCUUCCCUAGGACCCAGCCCACUCAGUUAUGCAGAUGCUGGGUGGUUGGCAAGGACCCUUCUUGGCCAAGGAGCCCAGAACUGCAGUUGGAGAAAGAUGAGAGAUGAGUGACCCUUCCUCUCUCUCUCCCCCUCUCUUUCCAUCCAGAAUAUGGUCCUGCUCUUAGCUGGAUACUGGAUUUGAACACGAAGUCUUUAUCACAAAGCCAUUUCACAAACCCCAAUCCAAAAUUAAGCAAAAUAAACUCCUUACAGAAACCAGACUCACAUUUAUUCCAGGCCAUGUGCUAACUUUCGAGUGUACAGGUCCUAGAAACAGCAUGGUUAAGGAGUUACUGCUCCAUCCAGAAUCCAGCUGUAGCUACUUAACUGGAAGAAUGUAAGAUGGACAGUCAGGUGGGCUCUAUACACCUGUGUCUACCCGCCGAUGACCGGUGAUUAGAUGUGCUGCAUACAAAUAACAGUGUCACUUGGUUUUACAAAGGAAGAGGGCUGGGGAGAUGACAGUUCAGCAGGUCGAGGUGCUGCAGGCCUGGCCACUGGAGUAUCGCCCCAGAGCCCACAUAAAGGUAGAAGAGACCCAGACCACUUUGUUGUCCUGUGAUCUCACAUUUACACCAUGUUCAUGCCCAACAUUAUGCAUAAUAAUUAUAAAUACAAAUUUUUAAUUUAAAAAAUAAAUUCUUACAGGCUACAACAUGGAAGCUGCUAUGCUAAGCUAGACCAGCCAGCCAGAUGCAAAAGAACAUUGUAAAAUGUACAUACGAUCCUAAGAACAGAAAGAUUCAUGACAGCCUGGUAAUUCCAUGGGAGAGCAGGGAUGGGGUUAGUGUCCGAUGGGUACAAAGGAUUCUGUCGGGGAAGAGAGAGUUCAGAAUACAGAUGGCAGCAGUCACACAGCGAUGAGACAGCACUGAUGUUUGCUCUCAAGACACCACGGCAGUGAAUUCUCUGCUGUGAAUAUUUUACCACAAUAAAACCACUAAAACCUAGAUUACAGUUCCGUCCACCCUGUAACACACCUGCUUUGGGUAUCCCCUCCAUUUCCGGGUGGCCUGGAUCCCAGUGACGAGAACAUUGGGAUGGUACUCAGAUGGUAUUGCGCAUAUACAACAGCCAAGGUUAUGCGGUGAAGCUAACCUUGGGGUAAAGCCCUGGCUCAGUGAGUUAAGCCAAGACAUUAGGAAAAAAGUGCACCUAAGGCCUGGCUCUGUUAGCAGGCUUUCACAUCCAAGCUAGUCAAGUGGUUAACAUGAAGAACGAGCUGACGGGCUCAGCUGUGUGCCCAGGCUACAGAAGAGCUGAGCGAGAGAGC